GAUAUGGCUCAAUGGCACAGCGCCUGCCUGGUAAGCAUGAGGUCCUGGGUUUGGUUCCCAAUAUC
rnacentral:tRNA from 1 species